CCUACGGGUGGCUGCAGUGGGGAAUAUUGGGCAAUGGGCGCAAGCCUGACCCAGCAACGCCGCGUGAAGGAAGAAGGCUUUCGGGUUGUAAACUUCUUUUCUCAGGGACGAAGCAAGUGACGGUACCUGAGGAAUAAGCCACGGCUAACUACGUGCCAGCAGCCGCGGUAAUACGGGGGGUGCAAGCGUUGUCCGGAAUCAUUGGGCGUAAAGAGUUCGUAGGCGGCACGUAAAGUCUGGUGUUAAAGGCAGAGGCUCAACUUCUGUACGGGACUGGAUACUUGCGAGCUAGAAUGCGGUAGAGGUAAAGGGUAUUCCGGGGGUAGCGGUGAAAUGCUUAGAUAUCAGGAGGAACAUCGGUGGCGGAAGCGAGUGACUGGGCCGUAAUUGACGCUGAGGAACGAAAGCCAGGGUAGCAAAUGGGAUUAGAUACCCCUGUAGUC
rnacentral:rRNA from 1 species